rfam:Phaethon lepturus contig62196, whole genome shotgun sequence.
GGGCCAGUAGCGCAAUGGACAACGCACCUGAUUAUGGAUCAGGAGAUUGCAGGUUCGACUCCUGCCUGGUUUG